rnacentral:rRNA from 1 species
UACGUAGGGGACGAGCGUUGUCCGGAUUUACUGGGCGUAAAGAGCGCGCAGGCGGCUGGUCAAGUCCGAUGUGAAAUCUCCCGGCUUAACUGGGAAACUGCAUCGGAAACUGAUCGGCUUGAAGGUGGGAGAGGGUAGUGGAAUUCCCGGUGUAGUGGUGAAAUGCGUAGAUAUCGGGAGGAACACCAGUGGCGAAGGCGACUACCUGGCCCAUUCUUGACGCUGAGGCGCGAAAGCUAGGGGAGCGAACGGG